GUACACCCCUCGUUCGUUGUACUAAAUUAGAACGCAAAUGUCAAACGUAGAGCGUAACGUUCUGAAACGACUUCGCUGUGAGGUUGAAUAAAUCUUUCCCUUUUAUCAUCUAGAACUCAAACCGAGCACAUCUUUUCUAAAAAAUCCGGACUUCUUCGUAUUAAUUGGCGACGAGGAAAAAAGAGUUUUCUCAGUUUUCCUCGGUGGAAAUCGGUGUAGGCAAGCGCAUCGGUUGGAGGAAAAUUUGGGAGAAGUUUUUCUUUGGUUACCGGGGAAAUCGGUGAUAACUGAUUGGCCCGUGAAGCAGCGGAAUUUUUGUUUCGUGUGAAAAAGGCAGUCGGUGAUAAUCGAUUGUCCCGGAAGACUACGGAUUUGGUCCGUGUGAAAAGACAGUCGGUGAUAAUCGAUUUGUCCAGAAAAUACAGAAUUGUCCGUGUGAACACGUCGGGUCGAUCCGAGGAGCCGGACAUUUUGGUGUUUUCUGGCCGGGGCGGUGUGUUCUGCCUUUUGUGACGUGUCGGGAAUCAUCAACGAGGCGGUGGAUUGUCCUUCCGGUGAUUUCGGAACAGAACCAAGUGAUUUCGACGUUGUCGGAAGCUGAUAGGUGACCGGCUGGUAAUUUCUGUCGCUACGGGUGAGCGGGGAACGAGCCACGUGUUGCAGUACCUGGAAGCGCUGAUUUUUUGAGGUUAAGUUGCCGCUGUGUGGAUCUAGCGAAACCUGGAACCAGUUCAGAGAAGCAGCUCACGGACAUGAUGGGUCGAUUGACAACAGCUGGCGACAUGGCUGGAAGUGACAGCGAUGAUAGUUACUCCGAAUGGAACUCAGGUGUCGGUUGGAAGCGCUCGGGUGAUGGCCCACAAGAUGCAGCUUAAACCCCAUCACGAGCGUAAGGAGCGCCCGAAUGUGCACCUGUUUCCAGUGGUGCACGGCGAAUACGAGGGCGAGGAGGAAGCAGUUUGUACGGCUGCAGCAGAUAUUAGUUCGGAAGAAGAAUUUCGAGGAUUUCCGGUGAUGGCUGGAGGAAAAAGAAGAAAAAGAAGUGCGCUUACGGCAGAAUUGCCUGAAGAGUAUCCACGUAGAUCAAAAAGGCUCAGAAAGCCGAUUCAUGAUUUGAAUUAUCAAUAUAAUUAGUGAAUUCAGAAGACUAGGAUUUUUUUUAAAUUAAAUAAUCAUUAAAAGUGAUAUCAGAGAAUUAGGAAAAAAAAAACAAAUUCGUUCAGAUAAAUUAACUAAAUUGAAUUGUAUUCAUUAGAAAUCUUUCUUGCUAAAAGAGGGAGGAGUUGUUAUGUACACCCCUCGUUCGUUGUACUAAAUUAGAACGCAAAUGUCAAACGUAGAGCGUAACGUUCUGAAACGACUUCGCUGUGAGGUUGAAUAAAUCUUUCCCUUUUAUCAUCUAGAACUCAAA